rnacentral:lncRNA from 1 species
CAAAACAUCGUAUAAGAUGAUUGCUCAAUGAUAUAUUGUGAUCAAAUGAUUGGAAUACUGUGUAUACCGAAAUAAGUGCCUUACUUGUGUGUGUAAUACAUAAUUAUAUUUUAUGUAGAGUCUGCCAUAUAGCUAGGCUUUGAAAACAUAUAGAGUCAGCCAGAAAAGUAAGCAUGAGUUUAUAUUGUGUAAGACCAUAGCUAGGCUACGGUGUCAAAUAAAGUCUGCCAGAAUGUUGAAAUAAGAAGUGAACAGAACAA